rnacentral:sRNA from 1 species
GUUGAGUAUGGUGGUGCUUGCCUAUAAUCCUGGUAUCUCUGGAAGCUGAGGCAGGAGGAUUACAAGUUUGAGGUCAGCCUCAGCAACUUCGUGAGACCCUGUCUCAA